AUUUAUUUAAUUAAAUAAAACUGCUUCUGGCCACCCAACCAGAGACUACAGUGCUUGUCUCUGUGGAACCUCCAAACAUACAGAGGUUUAAAUAAUGAAGCUUUCUAGAUGGAAAAGGGGAGUGGGAAUUCUAUUAGGCAAUCUAGGACCCUCCUUAGACCUAUGAAGCAAAGUUUGGGAAUAAAAUUCGAGAGGCAAUGAGGCAACUUCUUUUUUCCUCACACAAGGGUUUUGUGUUUGUGUGUGUGUGUGUGUGUGUGUGUGUGUAGUGAGAAAGGCUGGAUUCCUGGAAUGGAUUUUUAAGAAGCAAAAGAGAAUCCAGCUGACUGGGUAAGACCAGAGCCUUUUGUCUCCUCUCCAUAUUUCUCCUUUAGUUCUUCACAUGUUACCUCGACUCUUUCAGAAUCUCUAAUUCCCGCAUGGAGAAUAAUUUAAGAGAAAAAGUAAGUGGCUCUUAUAUUUCAACAUAUAACUGCAAUUCAAAGAAAAUGGAAAAGAACCAACUAACCAGUGCUUUCUAAGUUACAGAAACUAUUCUCUUGAUGCUUACAGCUUCAGCAGAUUUUAACGGUUAGCUAACAAGGUGCUAAUGUUUCAAGUGUUCUGUGAACAGAGAAUCUUGUGUAAUUAGCAUACUGAUUGUUUUAUGUGAAUGAGACUUCUCAGUGGCUGUGCAAACUUGAAAAUUUAGAAUGUCCUCCAGCACAGGGAGUGUGUUUGCUGUAGUCAGCGCUCAUCAUACUAACAGCAACCCUCUCUUCCCAAGAAUAGUCAAAAGUAAAUUUCCUCAUGCCCUUUCCCUAAAAGAUCUCUGUGAAUCAGCAAAGUAAAAGUUUAUAAGGU
rnacentral:lncRNA from 1 species